AUAAAAUUCUGAAAACUCCUUUGUCUUAUUUAUACUCGUCUUCAAAGUCUACGUACUAUGUGGUACAAGGAUUGAUUUGAGAUUUUGAUAAGGUGAAUACCCGGUCUAUUCAAUGCUAGGCAUAAUGAGUAUAAGGACCUCAAAAAAAUCUCUUUUCGUCAUAUGAACUUUAAGGUGUAUGAAGUUUCAUAUUUGAUUUUUUNNNN
rnacentral:lncRNA from 1 species